UUGCCUUCUUAAGGGUUUCAGACGAAACCAUAGCGCCGCCACCCUAUCCCUUCUCCCCUCACACGUCACGAUUGCCGGAAAUGGCAACAUUUCAGGCGUGUCAGUUGCGUUAUGGCCAAAACGAGUAGCAUUAAAUGAAAACUCGUCUCUCUCCACCUAUUCUCACCAAACGCUUCCUUAAAAGUUCGAGAUUGGAAGCACAAAGGCUCUAAAUCCAUUCUUGUCUAGGUUGUGCAACAAAAAGGCUGGGUUAAGCCUCUAUGUUCGGCUACCACCCAACAGGCUUUUCUUUCAGCAAGACAGUCCGAUGAGGGGGUGAAAGGGAAGCAAAUAUGCAUGUGAACACGUUGAAGGCCCAACCAUAGGUGAAAGGGAAGCAAAUAUGCAUGUGAACACGUUGAAGGCCCAACCAUAGGUGAAAAUGGUUAACUAGGGGUUUGGUACCCCCCCCCCCCCAGCCUAUGCCUCUCUUUUAUGUAUAAUUAUUUCAUUCUUAUUUUGUAUUUGUAUAGCAUGUAAGAACAUCAUAUUAUAUUGGAAUCCUUUUGAUUAUGAACUAGCCGUCUUAAGGAACGGUGCAUAUACUGUUUAGUGGAUUUUAAGUCCCCAAAUGAUUU